GGUGGCGCAGCAGCACUUCCUUCCUAACAGGACUUGGGGUCCCGGUGCUGCUUCCUGCUGUGGGGCACCUCCCUGCUCCCGCGGGGGUAGGGGUGCCUGGGGACACGGCAUCCUGGGGGCAGCUGCACCUUGCCUGCCCUCCUCCACCGGCAGUGAAGGUGCAGCGAUGCAGCUGGCUUCUGCUGGAGGUUGUGAGCAAGAAACGCCAGAAGCUGCCCAACAGCGUGAAGCUCUCCGUUCCGGAGAAGCCGUAGGGAGGAUGACGGCAACGACGGAUGUUAAUGAAGAGCAGCCUGCAGAGGAAAAAAGAAAGGACGUGGGGAGAGGGGUGCCCUCCGCCUGAGGAGGGGACCCCGUGCGUGGAGGUUCAGCUGCCUCCAGCUCUUCUCCCCGACUUGCUUUCCCGUGCUGUGGAGGAAGGGCACGUCUCCGCAGCUGACAUCUCCCUUGGGCCUGCGCUUGCACCGAGCCGCUGCCAGAACGGGAACUGCAGGCGUCUGUUGAACAACAAAGCAAACGCCCAAGCAUUUCGGGUGUGAUGUCCCCAGCAUUCCAAGGAGAGAUUACGCAGCAGCAGCCCAAACGUCUGGAAUGGCUUCUUUCUAGGAGAGAAGCAAAGCCUUGGCGGAGCCAGAGCAGGAGCUUCUUUCCUGAAGGGAAGAGAACCUCCAGCCAUCGCUAUCCAUCUCCUCCCCGGCCAAAGGCCAAAGGCCAAAAGCCAAAGGCCAAAUCCCAAAUCCCAUAUCCCAAAUCCCCAAUCCCAAAUCCCAAAUCCCAAAUCCCCGCCUCCAUUGCUAACAUCAGAGCACAGCAAGCCGUACGUGUGCAGAAGCAUCCCAGAUUCCUAUGGCUCUGUAGCGGUGCGCUAAAGAGGGCCUCGGUCCUACAGCCUCACGGCAGGAACUUGGCAAACAAGGAGCUUCUCACGGGACUGCUCACUUGCAUCCACUGCCAUCGCAUCCACAGCCCGCAGCCCGCAGCCGUCGGGUGAAGCCCUCAAGAGUACAACGGAGGUCGAGUGCUGAAAGCACGGGAGAGUUCCCGCAGCAACUGCUGCUAACAGCAGACGCUCCCAGCAACUCCAAGGAAGCCCUGAGAGCCCCGAGCCGUGCCCCAGGACCGCUUCCUCUCUCGAUUCACCGCCACCGCCACGGGAAAAGCAGACGGGAAAAGGGCACCGACGAAAGCUGCCGAUCGCGUUCACGACGGAGGCACUGCCGGCACUCGGGAGGACGGGAGAGCCCGGGGCUACUCGGCUCGAAGCGCUUCCCGCCCGCCCCGUUUCCCCACCUGGCAGCGCGGCGGCGGGUCGGCUCCGGGUGCGCUUUCCGGCCCUUCCGGCAGGCGGCGCCACAGCAGUGAACCGCUGGCUUCACUCCGGCAUCGGGCACCGCGUCGCCAACGCGGGCGGCGCCGCGGGAAGAGGCCGCCAGCGGUACGCGAGUACGCGCCGACUGGACGCAGGCGUGCUUAGCGGCGUCGCGGAAAGAAAGCCGGUAGCAACGGCACGCGUUCUAACGGGCGGCGUACCUCCUAGCGAGCCGUCCGUCGGAGAUCGCCGGCAAGCGAGCCGCCUCACGGGAGCGAGCGUGGUCGAGUUAGCGGCGCUCCUCCCCGUGCCAAAGGGAGCUGCUUUGCUCUGAGUCCGCAUUUGCGAGGACGACGAGGACGACGAGGACGACGAGGACGACGAGGAAGGGGCCGGCCGGAGGACGCUCGCGCGUUCACGCGUCUCCAGGGCGCGCGCAGAGCCGUGCGUCACUGCCACCGCACAGCGCCCGCCCGAGCCGCGCGUCGCCGCGGCAACGGCUUCUCCCCUCCUCCUCGCGGCUCCUCCUCUGCCUCUGCCUCUGCCUCUGCCUCUGCCUCUGCCUCUGCCUCUGCCUCUGCCUCUGCCUCUGCCUCUGAUUGUUUAUUCUAUGGAAACAAACAAUAAAUAAACAAACUUCUUGUUUAUUCUAUGGAAAAGUUCUUUUCACAUGUCUAAUUUAUUCCUCAUCUUUGGGGUGCUGAUUCAUUAGAGAACAUUACUGGGGGUCUGACCACAGCAACUCAAAGACCCAAGUCCUGCAUAGAGCACAUCCUACUCUGUUGUUUUAAAUCAGGGGCCGCAAGCACACGGCUUGCAAGGGGGAUCUCUUCCCUGACUCUAAGGAGCAGGGAGAGAAAGCAA